GGGGGUAGGGUGGAGAAGAAGAGAAAGCAUAUAAACAAAUGGCUCUGGGGCUUAUUACCUUUGGCUCUUGGAAAAUGAGCCAAAGAGAAAACAUUCUGUAUUCUCCAAGGUUUGUUUACCAUUCCGUAUCCUUUAACCCAAGUGCCAGUAACCUGCUCAGAAAGCCGUGGAUACAUUAUUUCUCCCAUGCAGUAUUAACCAGGUAACAUUUCUUUGUCCCUUCUGCCCCUGCAGUUCUUUUCUUGGGCAAACAGGGUUUCUAGGGAUUCAGGGUGAAGAAAGGUUAAGUAAGAUGGUUUCCUUCUCCAGCCCUGAGCCCAGAACACAGCAAACACCCACUCAAAGGUUGAGUGAAUGACAUGACCCAUGGUUUAAGAUUUUAAUAAAGGUGAGGCAGAGGGUUGGUCGAUCAAGUCCUGAUCACAGUGAUGGUGCUCCCGAACCAGGACAUUCAUUCUUCUCCCUUGGGUUAGGCAAAGCCCCGGACCCCUUGGAGCACAGCCAGUGUUCCUGACAUCCCCCACUGCCAGAUGUGAACGUGCACAAGCCGGAGCCACACCAGAUUCAGAGUUCAUAGUGUUCUCUUGGGGAAGGAGGCUCCAGUGAGGAGGAAAGGAUUUCCUUCCAGUGACAGGUUACCCACCUUGGGCAGCUCAUCCAGCCAGUGGGGCCCUAUUCAGCCUGUUGCAGCUGAGAUUCAGCACGUUGAGCUUGGCAGGUAGUCCUUUGGGCACCUGCUCCAGCCCAGCAAAUGACAGAUCGAGGGAGUUUAGCGAGCUGGGCCAGACGCACUCUGGGUCUCCAGCGUUUGACGUAGCACGCAGAGAAUUGUGGCUGAGGUCCAAGCGGUGGGGCUGCACCCCAGCCGCCGCCAGUCCAGCGCACACGCCAUUGAGAGUCUCCAUCCCAUCGUUGCGUAGCGCUAGAUCCUGGAGGGCCGGGAACUUGUGGGGACAAAGAGCCCCGACCAGUCCGCGCUCACUCAGCCCGGGAUUGUCAGACAGGUCUAGGGUGGUGAGGGCUGGGAAGCUGCGGACCCCUUCGCAGGGAAAGGCAAGCGAAUGUGCUUGGGCAAUGUUCAGUACCUGCAGGAGGCCGGGCUUGAGCCACUGCUGCAGUUGGGGGAGCCAGGCACCGCCGACCGCCCAGGACACAUUGCGGAGGCGCAAACUGGAGAUCCCAAGCCCGGAGGGUCCCAGAGGCGUGGGCGGCGGCGAGGCCGGUGACUUCUAUGUCCUCGAGGGUCAGUUCCUUGAGGCGGGAAUAGGCCAGCACCCGCAGCACGCCGAAUAGGAGCGGAGCGAGGGACCCGCGCAGCUCCCAUCGUGAGCCGCCGCACGCGCAGAGCCUUGACCAGGUCCACGUACUGCCGCGGGUUGGCCUCGGGGUCGACGCGCUUCAGAAACGGCUCCAGGUUGCGGCCGCCGGCUCGGAUCUCCACGUCGACGGCCACCGUACACUGGAGGGCGCUGGACCAGUCCGGCUGCGGAUCCAAGAAGUUGCAGGAGCAGCGGAUGUCCUCGUCGUCCAGCUCGCAGGGCUCGGGCGGCGGCGACGGCGAGGGGUCCGCCAAGACGCUCAGCAGGGGCAGCAGCAACAGCAACAAGCCGGGAGCGAGUUCCUGCGAGACAGCGGAGCUUGCGAGGCAGGCGGCGGAACUCACCCGGAAUAAUACUUUUCUCACCA
rnacentral:lncRNA from 1 species